AAGCAAGUGCUGGUCCAACAGAUGAAUCACCAACUAGAUCAUCAAAACACAACCGUCACUCAAAAGACUCCCCAAGUUGGACAGGAUGUCAUAUUGUACUCUAUCUCCCGCCCUUAUAACAUACAAGUGGCGAAGGCCACUAUUUAGUCAAUUGAUAGGACGAAGAUAGUGGCGGGUGCCGAACUUGGAUCUCAAUGUUCUGAAGUCGUAGUUAACAUGGUGAUGAAAAAGGAUGCUAUUUUGCAACGCCCUUAUGGGAAUGUGAGGACCAUGGCGAAUGCUCUCGGGCGAUCUAUUGCAUGGCCUCGUAGAUAUAUUGAGGUUGUUCGUAAAGUUAUGCAGAAGCAACCAUGACAGCCCAUAGCAGUCCCCACAUCUUGAAGGUCACCGGCAUAAUGCCUUUGCAUCCACAAAUGCGGUGCGUUUGGUGAGCUAAAAGGAUCUUCUGCUGGGAUAUGUUUACACCUAAAACCAGAUUGUAUAUUUUGCGCUUUUGUCUAUGAUGUACUACUUUGAGUUGUGAACCUACAACUUCACGCAUGUGUGCAUGUAGACCUGAUGGAUAGUUGUGCUUUUGGCUGUCUUGUUACUGGACUUGUAUGCCUAUGUGUGCAUGUAGGCACACAUAAUGGAUCUUUGUGCUAGCUUUUAGUUGUCCUGGACUAAUGAUGUAUGGAUGAUGGAUUGCUCAUAAUUAGUAUAUGCACUAUCUCU